UCGGGAAUUUUGGGCAAUGGGCGAAAGCCUGACCCAGCAACGCCGCGUGAAGGAUGAAGUAUUUCGGUAUGUAAACUUCGAAAGAAUAGGAAGAAUAAAUGACGGUACUAUUUAUAAGGUCCGGCUAACUACGUGCCAGCAGCCGCGGUAAUACGAAGGGGGCUAGCGUUGUUCGGAUUUACUGGGCGUAAAGCGCGUGUAGGCGGGUCGUUAAGUUGGGGGUGAAAUCCCGAGGCUCAACCUCGGAACUGCCUUCAAAACUGGCGACCUGGACCCAAGUAGAGGCAAGUGGAAUUGCGAGUGUAGAGGUGAAAUUCGUAGAUAUUAGGAAGAACACCGGUGGCGAAGGCGGCUCACUGGCUCGAUACUGACACUGGGGUGCGAAAGCGUGGGGAGCAAACAGGAUUAGAUACCCUUGUAGUCCCUGAGCGGGCUGGCAAGGCGCAU
rnacentral:rRNA from 1 species